AGGAACUGUCAAAAUGUCAAAUGUAUAGAGAAAUAUUAGAAGCCCAUGGUCAUACCUUUUAUUUAUGGUGGAAAACAAAAUGAUUAGAUAUACCUUGCAGAUAACUGAGAUUUUGUUAGCAGGUGCUAGGCAUAUGAACCAGCAUUGUGUCUGAACUUGUAUGAAGUUAGAUAGUCUUGACUCUUGAACCCAAAAACCACCUCAUGCUCAGCGAAUCGCUUCCACACACAUAAAUUUCGAGUUUGAC
rnacentral:lncRNA from 1 species